rnacentral:rRNA from 1 species
AGCGAACGUUUGCGGCGGGCCUAACACAUGCAAGUCGAACGCACUAGCAAUAGUGAGUGGCGCACGGGUGCGUAACACGUGGGUAAUCAACCCUUCAGCUUGGGAUAACGACUUGAAAGGGUCGCUAAUACCGGAUACGGCGAGAGAGGCUUCGGCAUUUCUCGAGAAAGCCUCGCAAGGGGCACUGAAGGACGAGCCUGCGGCCCAUCAGCUAGUUGGUGAGGUAAGAGCUCACCAAGGCGAAGACGGGUAGCUGGUCUGAGAGGAUGAUCAGCCACACUGGAACUGAGACACGGUCCAGACUCCUACGGGAGGCAGCAGUGGGGAAUAUUGCGCAAUGGGCGAAAGCCUGACGCAGCCACGCCGCGUGAGCGAUGAAGGCCUCGGGUCGUAAAGCUCUGUGGGGAGGAGACGAAGAAAGACCCGUGAAGAG